AGCAGCCGCGGUAAUUCCAGCUCCAAUAGCGUAUAUUAAAGUUGUUGCAGUUAAAAAGCUCGUAGUUGAAUUUCGGGAUUGACGUGACGGUCAUGCCUUAAGGGGUAUGAACUGUUACAGUUGAUUUCUCACCUUCUGGAGAAACUUGAUGUCCUUUAUUGGGUGUCUUGCGGAUCCAGGACCUUUACCUUGAAAAAUUAGAGUGUUUAAAGCAGGCAUUUUUGCUCGAAUACAUUAGCAUGGAAUAAUAGAAUAGGACGGCAUGGUUCUAUUUUGUUGGUUUCUAGGAUCACCGUAAUGAUUAAUAGGGAUAGUUGGGGGCAUUAGUAUUCAAUUGUCAGAGGUGAAAUUCUUGGAUUUAUUGAAGACUAACUACUGCGAAAGCAUUUGCCAAGGAUGUUUUCAUUAAUCAAGAACGAAAGUUAGGGGAUCGAAGACGAUCAGAUACCGUCGUAGUCUUAACCAUAAACUAUGCCGACUAGGAAUCAGACGAUGUUAAUUUUUAAUGUACUCG
rnacentral:rRNA from 1 species